CGGUCAACACUGGGGGAAGCAGAUGUACUUCCAAGAGGGAGCUGCAGUGAGGUCAGAGGAGGCGCUGGAAGGUUUCCCUAAUAGUUCCUGGUGAAUCAAAGCAGAACCAUAAAGGUUGCUGGACUGCAUGAUGGCCUUACCCCUGAGCCGUCAUCCUGUUAAAGGAGGAACCACUUAGCUGUUUUCAAAGUAGCUGAGCAGAUUUCUUCUCAACAGACAAAGCUGAUGGCAGAAGAUGUCAGAGAAGAACUUCAGGCCGUGGACUGAAAAGUAGAUCAAAGCAGCUCGUGCUCCUUCUGCUUCCAAUUUAGAAGAAGAAGGCGAAGGCUUCAGCGAAGUGGCGUUCAUGGUCUCAGUGAACAGUCACGGUCACACACUGCAUGUGGUUUUAAAAGCAACAUGUCUGUUCACCACAACAAUG